UCAGACACAAUCUCGCAGUUAUGUGAUA
rnacentral:sRNA from 1 species